rnacentral:rRNA from 1 species
GACGAACCGUGCGAACGUUGUUCGGAUUCACUGGGCAUAAAGGGCGCGUAGGCGGACGGUCAAGUCGGGGGUGAAAUCUUUCAGCUUAACUGGAAAAGUGCCUCCGAUACUGAUCGUCUCGAGGGAGGUAGGGGCAUGUGGAACUUCCGGUGGAGCGGUGAAAUGCGCAGAUAUCAGGAGGAACACCGGUGGCGAAGGCGGGUCUCUGGGCCGUAACUGACGCUGAGGAGCGAAAGCGUGGGGAGCGAACAGG